rnacentral:lncRNA from 1 species
GUGCCGAGCGAGUUGUUUCCUAGCUUCCCAAAGAGCUGGAAGCAAGAUGCUGUGGGGCCCAACUCGCCCUUUGGAAAGAAGCCUGCACGUUGUGCCUUUCAGCUCUAGGGCAAUGUAGCACACCCAGAGCAGAAGUCCUACUUCAGCCAGAUCAGGCCUGCAAAGAAACUGCGUUUCACAGGCCUUUGGAAGAGAUGCUCCCUGUAGGCUGUAAGAGCACUGUGCAGAGCGAGUUGUUUCUUAGCUUCCCAAAGAGCUGGAAGCAAGAUGCUUGGGGCCCAACUCGCCCUUUGGAAAGAAGCCUGCACGUUGUGCCUUUCAGCUCUAGGGCAUGUAGCACACCCAGAGCAGAAGUUCUACUUCAG